rnacentral:rRNA from 1 species
GACGAACGCUGGCGGCGUGCUUAACACAUGCAAGUCGAACGGAAAGGCCCUGCUUUUGUGGGGUGCUCGAGUGGCGAACGGGUGAGUAACACGUGAGUAACCUGCCCUUGACUUUGGGAUAACUUCAGGAAACUGGGGCUAAUACCGGAUAGGAGCUCCUGCUGCAUGGUGGGGGUUGGAAAGUUUCGGCGGUUGGGGAUGGACUCGCGGCUUAUCAGCUUGUUGGUGGGGUAGUGGCUUACCAAGGGUUUGACGGGUAGCCGGCCUGAGAGGGGGACCGGCCACAUGGGGACUGAGAGACGGCCCAGACUCCUACGGGAGGCAGCAGUGGGGAAUAUUGCACAAUGGGCGGAAGCCUGAUGCAGCAACGCCGCGUGCGGGAUGACGGCCUUCGGGUUGUAAACCGCUUUCGCCUGUGACGAAGCGUGAGUGACGGUAAUGGGUAAAGAAGCACCGGCUAACUACGUG